rnacentral:rRNA from 1 species
GCAUGAAGCCGGAAUCGCUAGUAAUCGCGGAUCAGCACGCCGCGGUGAAUACGUUCCCGGGCCUUGUACACACCGCCCGUCACACCACGAGAGGUUGUAACACCCGAAGUCGGUGAGGUAACCUUUUGGAGCCAGCCGCCUAAGGUGGGAUAGAUGAUUGGGGUGAAGUCGUAACAAGGUAGCCGUAUCGGAAGGUGCGGCUGGAUCACCUCCUUUCUAAG